AUCGGCGAAGACAGACUUGGGCGGACGGAGGUGGUGCUUCUUAUGGUAUGGGCGGUGUCGACAAAUGGUCACCGGAAGGUAACCCAAACUCCAAACCUAAUGGAGGUUGACAAAUGGUCACCGGAAGGUAACCCAAACUCCAAACCUAAUGGAGGGCUCUGAUACCAUGUAAUUUAGAAUUCAGAAACGUAUAUGUCUUAUUCUCAUUGAGUCAAAGCAAUGUUACAUAUUUAUAUAGAGAAUAAACUAAA